rnacentral:lncRNA from 1 species
GUGGGGAUCUAUAUUUUAUUUGUUCUAUAGGAUUUUUAAAUGAUAUAUUUAUGCUUUAUUUUUUUCUCUAAAUAGUGAUUAUGGUGCCUUAGUCUCUAAUCUCUACUCUGGGGUGCUGAAAUCCUAAAAAUAUCUAGUACAAUAUCUGCUUCCAUAUGUUAUAGGACCCCUAAUGUUUGCAUCCAGUCUGCUAUAGGAUCCCUUAUGUCUGUUUUCGAUCUACUAUAGAACCCCUUACAUCUACUUUCACCUGCUAAAGGGCCUAU